UACGGGGGGGGCAAGCGUUGUUCGGAAUUACUGGGCGUAAAGGGUUCGUAGGUGGCCAACUAAGUCAGACGUGAAAUCCCUCAGCUCAACUGGGGAACUGCGUCUGAUACUGGUUGGCUUGAGUGCAGGAGAGGAACGCGGAAUUCCAGGUGUAGCGGUGAAAUGCGUAGAUAUCUGGAGGAACACCGGUGGCGAAGGCGGCAUCCUGGACCGAUAUUGACGCUGAGGCGCGAAAGCCAGGGGAGCAAACGGG
rnacentral:rRNA from 1 species